rnacentral:lncRNA from 1 species
GGAAGCCCGGGCUGCACCGGCGCCGCGCGCGGGGUUCCCCCCUGCCCCUCUGGCUGGGAGGGCAGGGUGGUGUCAGGUCGCCCGCCGCUCUUGGGCCUCCUCGGCUCCCUUCCUCCUUCCUUGCGGUCUUCAUGCACAGCUGCCUCGGUCCCCCGCUUCUGGAAUUCACAGCCCAGAUGUGGAUAGGCUUUACCCCACUCAUCCUUACAAUGUGGGUCAUGAGCCCAGAGCCUUAAGCUACGUGUUAGGAGGGCCCCAGGAUGUAGGAUUCAGCAUUGCUCUUUUUGACCUUAGGCCCUACUGCGGCCUCGCCUGGACGUUUUGUCACCUGGCCCUGGUGCCUCCAGACAGAACCAGGACGCAUAGGUGGGUGGAUACGAGGGCACUCCACCCCACACCCAUCACUCACCUUGGUGUCACCACUCCCACUGGGAAACUGGAAUCUAAACCUUGCUUCAUAUGCCAUCUCAUAUUAUUACUUAUCUUUUGAUGCUUGGAUUUCCUGUUUUCUCAACCUCAUUGCUAGGCCCUUGAUGGAAACCAAGUCCAUGUCAGCCUCUCCCACACAGUGGGUGCGCAAUCAGUCUUAGUUGAUUAUAAUGAUGUCAAGUCCAACCAGCUGUGGUAAAGAGUGUUCGAUUGAGAGGUAGAAAACAACCAGGUUCUAGAUUUAGCUUUGCUAACCAUCCACAGGCAAAUCACAUAAUCUUCCUGAUCUUUUUGGUUUCCUCAUCUGUAAAAUUAAGAUUCUUGGACCAGAUGAUAUCUAAAGUUCCUUCUAGCAAUGGAAUUCUAUGAACUUUAAGGUUUCUUCCAGAUUUUUAUGCAUCUCUGAUUCUGUAACUCAUAUUCUGGGAUCAAGUUGAAUACAGAGGCUCCCUUAUGUGGGUCUUUUUUAUUUAAAAAAAAUUAUUUUGUAAGCACAUCACCCUAUGUUGAGAAUCCAGAGAAAAACCAUCUCCAACCUCAGUGUUUUCAUUUUAAGAAUAGACAGUCUUCACUAUUUCUUUUACUCUCUGGUGGAAUCAGAUUGGUAGGGCAAUUUUUCUUGCUCCUGAGAUGUAACCUGUCAGACAUUAUUACUCUGUCAUUAUUUAAAUCAAGACUAUCUGAAGUUUGUACAGGGCCUUUGUAGGAAUUUGAAAAAAGGCAUUGCUUCCUGUGGGCAGAUACAGAGCGGUGUUGGAGUUGAUGGCUUGUCAAGUAGAAUACAGGCUGGAUUUUCUGCCCCAAUUAGUGCCCUUAGCUGGUUAACCUUGUGCAGUGAACAACCUAUCCAACUGUAUACUGCAGCUCUGACUGAAAGCAUCUAAGAUCAGGACCCUCUUUACCACUCAAAAAAAAUUUCUGAGUGCCUGCUUCCCAGUUGCUCCUCCAGUAUUUCUAUUGACAAUAUGCAGCAUAUGAUAUUGGGUAUGGGCUUUGGUCUGUUUACUAGCUGUAAAAGCAUUCAUUCUACAGGGUUUGAAUAGGUGUCUGGCCACCUAUAUGCCAGGCACCUCUAUGCUAACUUCUACUAUAAGAGAGAAUGGGAGAGAGUUCUUUCUUUCUUCAAGGAACUUACAGCCUAGAGGGGGAUACAGACAAGUAAACAGAUACAUUAUAUUAUAGUACAGUAUGAAAAGUACUAUGAAGGGG